GGUGGCAGCUCAGUGGCAGAGUGCGUGCUUAGCAAGCACCAGGUCCUGGGUUCCAUCCUCAGUACCGCCA
rnacentral:tRNA from 1 species